GGACCCGCACAAGCGGUGGAGCAUGUGGUUUAAUUCGAUGCAACGCGAAAAAACCUUACCUACUCUUGACAUACUUGGGAGCUCUUGUAAUGAGAGUGUGCCUUAUGGAACCAAGAUACAGGUGCUGCAUGGCUGUCGUCAGCUCGUGUCGUGAGAUGUUCCGUUAAGUCGGAUAACGAGCGCAACCUUACCCUUUAUUUGCCAGCGAUUCGGUCGGGAACUAUAAGGGGACUGCCGGUGAUAAACCGGAGGAAGGUGAGGACGACGUCAAGUCAUCAUGGCCCUUACGAGUAGGGCUACACACGUGCUACAAUGGGGAAUACAGACGGACGCUAAGCCGCGAGGUGGUGCUAA
rnacentral:rRNA from 1 species